rnacentral:tRNA from 1 species
GCCUAGAUGGCUCAAACGAUUAAGUGCUUGACUAUUAGCCAAAAGGUUGGUGGUUUGAACCCACCUAGAGGCA